AGAUGGAAUGACAGGGCAUCUGCUUAUCUGUUUUCUUCAUUUUAGCCAUAUUCUUUUAUUGUGGACUAGUUUGGAUGCUUUGGGACAAUGUUACAAAAUCCACCAAAAAAAAAAGAUAGUGGCUUAUAGAAAUGAAAUUCUUCGAAGAAAAGGUUUAAACAAAAAAAAAUAAUUGCAAUCAAUUUUACUAUUUUUAUUUUUUCUCGUUAUUAAAAUUAUAAUUUCGAAAGAGAAAG
rnacentral:ribozyme from 1 species